AGAGCAUGUGGUGGAUGCCUUGGCAAUGAUAGGCGACGAAAGACGUGAUAGCCUGCGAUAAGCUUCGGGGAGCUGGCAAAUUAGCGUGGAUCCGGAGAUUUCUGAAUGGGGAAACCCACACUUCGGGGUAUCGCAUAGUGAAUACAUAGCUAUGCGAGGCGAACCGGGUGAACUGAAACAUCUCAGUAGCUCGAGGAAAAGACAUCAACCGAGAUUCCGAAAGUAGUGGCGAGCGAAAUCGGAGAAGCCUGUUAGUGAUAGCAAGACUCUUAGCAAAGCAAUCUGGAAAGGUUGGCCAUAGUGGGUGAUAGCCCCGUAUGCGAAAAGAGACUUGUGAUACUAAGCUAACGAAAAGUAGGGCGGGACACGAGAAAUCCUGUCUGAAUAUGGGGGGACCAUCCUCCAAGGCUAAAUACUCAUCAUUGACCGAUAGUGAACUAGUACCGUGAGGGAAAGGCGAAAAGAACCCCGGGAGGGGAGUGAAAUAGAUCCUGAAACCGCAUGCUUACAAAAAGUAGGAGCCUGGAAACGGGUGACUGCGUACCUUUUGUAUAAUGGGUCAGCGACUUACAUUCAGUGGCAAGGUUAACCGAAUAGGGAAGCCGUAGAGAAAUCGAGUCCGAAUAGGGCGAAUUAGUCGCUGGGUGUAGACCCGAAACCAAGUGAUCUAUCCAUGGCCAGGAUGAAGGUGCCGUAACAGGUACUGGAGGUCCGAACCGACUAGUGUUGCAAAACUAGCGGAUGAGCUGUGGAUAGGGGUGAAAGGCUAAACAAACUUGGAAAUAGCUGGUUCUCUCCGAAAACUAUUUAGGUAGUGCCUCAAGUAUUACCGUUGGGGGUAGAGCACUGUUUUGGCUAGGGGGUCAUGGCGACUUACCAAACCAAGGCAAACUCCGAAUACCGACGAGUACAGCUUGGGAGACAGAGCACCGGGUGCUAACGUCCGGACUCAAGAGGGAAACAACCCAGACCGCCAGCUAAGGUCCCAAAGAUUGGCUAAGUGGAAAACGAAGUGGGAAGGCUAAAACAGUCAGGAUGUUGGCUUAGAAGCAGCCAUCAUUUAAAGAAAGCGUAAUAGCUCACUGAUCGAGUCGUCCUGCGCGGAAGAUGUAACGGGGCUAAGCCAGUCACCGAAGCUGCGGAUAUUAACAGCAUUUAUGCCGUCGAUAUGGUAGGAGAGCGUUCUGUAAGCCUGCGAAGGUGUCUUGUAAAGGAUGCUGGAGGUAUCAGAAGUGCGAAUGCUGACAUGAGUAGCGAUAAUGGGGGUGAAAAGCCUCCACGCCGUAAGCCCAAGGUUUCCUGUUCAACGUUCAUCGGAGCAGGGUGAGUCGGCCCCUAAGGCGAGGCAGAGAUGCGUAGCUGAUGGGAAGCAGGUUAAUAUUCCUGCACCGUCGUAUGAUGCGAUGGGGGGACGGAUCGCGGAAGGUUGUCCGGGUGUUGGAAGUCCCGGUCCUUGACUUGUAGAAGGCAUCUAGGUAAAUCCGGGUGCGUAAUUCAAGGGGUUGAGGCCAGUCCAUUUAUGGACGAAGCAAUCGGAAGUGGUUCCAAGAAAAGCCUCUAAGCUUCAGUCAUACGAGACCGUACCGCAAACCGACACAGGUGGGCGAGAUGAGUAUUCUAAGGCGCUUGAGAGAACUCGGGAGAAGGAACUCGGCAAAUUGGUACCGUAACUUCGGGAUAAGGUACGCCCUUGUAGUUUGAUUCCCCUGCGGGAUGAGGAUGAAAGGGUUGCAAUAAACUGGUGGCUGCGACUGUUUAAUAAAAACACAGCACUCUGCAAACACGAAAGUGGACGUAUAGGGUGUGACGCCUGCCCGGUGCUGGAAGAUUAAAUGAUGGGGUGCAAGCUCUUGAUUGAAGUCCCAGUAAACGGCGGCCGUAACUAUAACGGUCCUAAGGUAGCGAAAUUCCUUGUCGGGUAAGUUCCGACCUGCACGAAUGGCGUAACGAUGGCCACACUGUCUCCUCCAGAGACUCAGCGAAGUUGAAAUGUUUGUGAUGAUGCAAUCUCCCCGCGGAAAGACGGAAAGACCCCAUGAACCUUUACUGUAGCUUUGUAUUGGAUUUUGAACAGACCUGUGUAGGAUAGGUGGGAGGCUUUGAAGCCCGGUCGCUAGAUCGGGUGGAGCCAACGUUGAAAUACCACCCUGGUGUGUUUGAGGUUCUAACCUUGGUCCAUUAUCUGGAUCGGGGACAGUGCAUGGUAGGCAGUUUGACUGGGGCGGUCUCCUCCCAAAGUGUAACGGAGGAGUUCGAAUGUACGCUAACUACGGUCGGACAUCGAGUUAAUAGUGCAAUUG
rnacentral:rRNA from 1 species